UCUGGGUGCUCCUGUAUUGGGUGCAUAUAUAUUUAGGAUAGUUAGUUCUUCUUGUGGAAUUGAUCCGUUUACCAUUAUGUAAUGGCCUUCUUUGUCUCUUUUGAUCUUUGUUGGUUUAAAGUCUGUUUUAUCAGAGACUAGGAUUGCAACCCCUGCUUUUUUUCUUUGCUUUCCAUUUGCUUGGUAGAUCUUCCUCCAUCCCUUUAUUUUGAGCCUAUAUGCAUCUCUGCACAUGAGAUGGGUCUCCUGAAUACAGCAUACUGAUGUGUCUUGACUCUUUAUCCAAUUUGCCAGUCUGUGUCUUUAACUGGAUUGCCUGCCAUAUCAAUACUUCUUUUUUUAAAGUUUGGGUGGUUCUGUCUAGGCAUUCUAUUUGCUCUGAUG
rnacentral:lncRNA from 1 species